UAUUCAACGAAAGGAAAAGAAAAGGUGAAAAAGGUGAUUUUGUUUUGGCAUCCCUUGUGCUAAAUAGAAAAGAAAAGAAAA
rnacentral:ribozyme from 1 species